rnacentral:misc_RNA from 1 species
GUGAAUCAUCAAAUUUUUGAACGCAAAUUGCACUCUCUUCGGAGAGUAUGCCUGUUUGAGGGUCAGCCUAAAAAAAAAAAUCGACAUAGUCGCUGUUUCGCGGUUACAUUCGUCGGAAAUUUUGUCAUCUUAAACCUUUGGGUUUUAAGCGGCUUAAAAUUUUCUUUACGAUUCCACGAACGUUUCUAAGAUUUACUUCUUAUACGUUUAAGGUAUCGACCU